rnacentral:rRNA from 1 species
AUUGAACGCUGGCGGCAGGCCUAACACAUGCAAGUCGAGCGGUAGAGAGGUGCUUGCACCUCUUGAGAGCGGCGGACGGGUGAGUAAUGCCUAGGAAUCUGCCUGGUAGUGGGGGAUAACGUUCGGAAACGGACGCUAAUACCGCAUACGUCCUACGGGAGAAAGCAGGGGACCUUCGGGCCUUGCGCUAUCAGAUGAGCCUAGGUCGGAUUAGCUAGUUGGUGAGGUAAUGGCUCACCAAGGCGACGAUCCGUAACUGGUCUGAGAGGAUGAUCAGUCACACUGGAACUGAGACACGGUCCAGACUCCUACGGGAGGCAGCAGUGGGGAAUAUUGGACAAUGGGCGAAAGCCUGAUCCAGCCAUGCCGCGUGUGUGAAGAAGGUCUUCGGAUUGUAAAGCACUUUAAGUUGGGAGGAAGGGUACUUACCUAAUACGUGAGUAUUUUGACGUUACCGACAGAAUAAGCACCGGCUAACUCUGUGCCAGCAGCCGCGGUAAAAC